CCUACGGGAGGCAGCAGUGGGGAAUAUUGGGCAAUGGGCGCAAGCCUGACCCAGCAACGCCGCGUGAGUGAAGAAGGCUUUCGGGUUGUAAAGCUCUUUUAGCAGGGACGAAAGAAGUGACGGUACCUGACUAAGAAGCCCCGGCUAACUACGUGCCAGCAGCCGCGGUAAUACGUAGGUGGCAAGCGUUAUCCGGAUUUACUGGGUGUAAAGGGAGUGUAGACGGGGAUGCAAGUCUGAAGUGAAAGCCGGGGGCCCAACCCACGGUCUGCAUUGGAAACUGUAGUGCUGGAGUGCAGGAGAGGUAGGCGGAAGUCCUAGUGUAGCGGUGAAAUGCGUAGAUAUUAGGAGGAACACCAGUGGCGAAGGCGGCUUACUGGACAGCAACUGACGUUGAGGCGCGAAAGCGUGGGGAGCAAACAGGAUUAGAUACCCGUGUAGUC
rnacentral:rRNA from 1 species